AUUGAACGCUGGCGGCGUGCCUAAUACAUGCAAGUAGAACGAGUUCCGAACGGGUGAGAAAUGUCUGGGAAACUGCAUGAUGGAGGGGGAUAACUACUGGAAACGGUAGCUAAUACCGCAUACCAUCAGAUGUGCCCAGUUGGGAUUAGCUUGAUGGUGGGGUAACGGCUCACCAAGGCGACGAUCCCUAGCUGGUCUGAGAGGAUGACCAGCCACAAUGCAACUGAGACACAGUCCAGACUCCUACGGGAGGAAUCAGUGGGGAAUAUUGCACAAUGGGUGCAAGCCUGAUGCAGCCAUGCCGCGUGUAGGAUGAAGGCCUUCGGGUUGUAAAGUACUUUCAGCGGGGAGGCGUUACCCGCAGAAGAGGCACAGGCUAACUCCGUGCCAGCAGCCGCGGUAGUAC
rnacentral:rRNA from 1 species